UACAGGGGGGGCAAGCGUUGUUCGGAAUUACUGGGCGUAAAGGGUCUGUAGGUGGCUUGCUAAGUCAGACGUGAAAUCCCUCAGCUUAACCUGGGGAACUGCGUCUGAUACUGAUGAGCUUGAGGUACAGGAGAGGAUCGCGGAAAUUCCCGGUGUAGCGGUGAAAUGCGUAGAUAGUUGGGAGGAACACCAGUGGCGAAGGCGGCUCACUGGACCGGAACUGACGCUGAGG
rnacentral:rRNA from 1 species